rnacentral:rRNA from 1 species
UACAGAGGGUGCGAGCGUUAAUCGGAAUUACUGGGCGUAAAGCGUGCGCAGACGGUCACGUAAGUCGGGUGUGAAAAGCCCCGGGCUCAACCUGGGAAUUGCAUUCGAGACUGCGUGGCUAGGGUGCGGAAGAGGGAAGCGGAAUUUCCGGUGUAGCGGUGAAAUGCGUAGAUAUCGGAAGGAACACCAGUGGCGAAAGCG